rnacentral:lncRNA from 1 species
GCAGGGGGAGCAGGAUGAGCAGGAUGAGCAGGGGGAGCAGGAUGGGCAGGAUGGGCAGGGGGAGCAGGAUGGGCAGGGGGAGCAGGGGGAGCAGGAUGAGCAGGGGGAGCAGGAUGAGAAGGAUGAGAAGGAUGCAGCCGCAGGCGCUGAGGAGCAGGGUGAGGGGCUGGCAGGUUGAAUUAGUGCUGGGAGAGCAGAUGCACAUUUAAACAAACCAUCCGCUCUCAAGAAGAAAACAAUGACUUAGUACUUCCUAAUUACCAUCCUAAAGUCAAGCAAUUACUCCUUAUUCACACGUGAUUACCAAGAAUAGCUUAAAAUGAAUAAACAUUUAAAAAAAAAAAAAAGCCUCUUACUAAAUUUUCAUUAGCCACCACAGUGAGUAAGAUAUUUACACUCGGCACAGCCCCCGUAAACACAGACAAGACAUUACUCAGUAAAUGAGUGAAUUAGUAUUGUGCUAAUUGCUAGAAAUUAUUAUCAGGUUACUACAAUUCCCGGCAGGAUCAACCCCGUUUGUUAUUUUUUGAAAAAUAAAAGAGAAAUCUUAGUGAUGUGGUUGAUGCAGUUAUAAAUAAUUGAGGGGGCAAGGGGCUGUUCCUCAGUGGAACCAGGAGAGGGGACGGAAAUGGUUAAAGCCCACAUGGCAGCUCAUACUUUAUUUCUGAGACCGUGGCUCUGGGGUAUGUCUGGGACAGGGCUGUGGGUGUUUUGGGUAGGAACUGGCAGGGGUGGAAGUGAUGGAAGUGGGAAAACGCACGAAAGCACAAGAAGAUGAUUUCAGCUUGUGCAUCUCUCUCUUCAUCAUCCCCAGCCGCCCAAACCCCCGCAGGGACAGCAGGCCCUUUACUGUGGGUGUCACUCCAGGAAUCCCAUCCCACCAGCCUGCCCACUCCCAAAUCCCAGCCUCACCAUUUCCUCACCGCCUUCACUGCCUGGGGCUCCAGAGCUGAAUUGGCCUUCUGCUCUCUGCCCAUCAGCACAGCUUUCUGCCAGGGGGAACUCUCACUUUCCGCCGAGACAAUUACGGAACCCUCGCCGAGAGCCUCUUGAAGGAAUGGCAGCCUCUGCUCCAGCUCUGAUUGCAGACGGGGGAAGUUGCUUUUCCAAGGGUCUGGCUGAUUAGGAAUCGAGCUCCAUCUCCCUGUUACCUGCAGAUGGGAUUUUUGUCUGUAUUAAACUAACAGUUUAAAGCCUCUUAAUUAUUGCAACGGCAGCUUGCGCUUUGCUGGGGUGGAGGUUUCUUUUUUAGCCUUUCUGGGAAGUUUUCAUUUCCUUUUCCUGGCUCUUGCUGUUCUGGGGAGCAGCCAUGCAGGCACACCAGGGGAGGCAUUUUGCUGCUCCUCUGUUUUGCUCUCCUCCAGCUCACUCCAUAUUUUUCACAUCCCUCACUGCCACUUCCAACCCCACCUUCCCAGGCUGAUACAGGCCCAUCAAGACUAUAAUCAGAAUAAAGUCAAUUAAGGACAGGAUUAGACUGAGGGG